rnacentral:rRNA from 1 species
UACGGAGGGUGCAAGCGUUAUCCGGAUUCACUGGGUUUAAAGGGUGCGUAGGUGGGCUGGUAAGUCAGUGGUGAAAUCUCCAGGCUUAACUUGGAAACUGCCAUUGAUACUAUCAGUCUUGAAUACCGUGGAGGUCAGCGGAAUAUGUCAUGUAGCGGUGAAAUGCUUAGAUAUGACAUAGAACACCAAUUGCGAAGGCAGCUCACUACACAGUUAUUGACGCUGAGGCACGAAAGCGUGGGGAGCGAACAGG